ACACGCAUGACACACUGCAUAUCAAUAAGCGGAGGAAAAGAAACUAACAAGGAUUCCCCUAGUAACGGCGAGUGAAGCGGGAAGAGCUCAAAUUUGAAAUCUUAAAGGGUUUCCCUUUACGAAUUGUAGUUUAAAGAAGUGUUUUCUGUUGGAGUUUCGGUAAAAGUUCUUUGGAAUAGGACAUCAUAGAGGGUGAGAAUCCCGUAUUUGACCGUUGAGCUUUCCAGCUGUGUGAUACACUUUCAAAGAGUCGGAUUGUUUGGGAAUGCAGUCCAAGAUGGGUGGUAAAUUUCAUCUAAAGCUAAAUAUUGGCGAGAGACCGAUAGCGAACAAGUACCGUGAGGGAAAGAUGAAAAGAACUUUGAAAAGAGAGUUAAACAGUACGUGAAAUUGUCAAAAGGGAAGCGUUUGACACCAGUGUUGUUUAGUUGAAAAUCAAUUCAAUAAUUUUUGAUUUUGGAGUAGUAUUGACUUCAUCAGCUUGCUGCUUUCUUUUCGGAAAUUAUUGAAUGCACUUUUCAGUUAACAAGUCAACAUCAAUUUCUUUUGUUGUAAAAGGGUAAGAGGAAGGUGGCUUACGCUUCGGCGUAAGUGUUUAUAGCCUUUUACCUCUGCAAUCGGAGAGAUUGAGGACAGCAGCGUAGACUCCUUCGGGGGUUAGAUACACUUGUGCUAAGCUAUAGCCUUGUAUAGACAACUUGUUGACUAUGCUCAGUCAUGUAGCUUACUCGCUUGUGCUAUUUUACCUACGCUUAGGAUGUUGAGCGCAUGUCUCUCUCU
rnacentral:rRNA from 1 species